AUGUAUAUUUUGUCAUACACACUGCAAGAACAUCCUGCACGAGAGCAAACCAGAGAACAAGUGAUGGCCUACCCGAGGAAGGGCCUUAAGAGACAUCAUCCCCCAGUGCUCUUUGUUUAACGAUGACUUUAAAGAAAAUCACCAUAUCAACAGGACAAGGAGAGCACCGAGACAUCUUGGAAACAACAGGAUGACUGCUGACUGACACCAGAUAACAAAUAUAUUAACAAGUAAAUAUCAAAUGUCAACCUUCUGGUAAGAUUGUGAACCUGGAGUAUGCAGCCACUGGGGAAACAGGGGAGGGGGGAGGCAAGGGGGAGAAAACAGGGUCUAAAGGCUGUCAUGUUGUGUCCAUAGGCGCGCUCCUACUUGCGGGACACCACCAUUGCAAUUGCGAAACUAGGGAAAAGAACAGGGAAAAGAUGUUUAAAUACUGUAUACAGUAGAGAGCCUCUACAGGGAAAAUCAUUAUUUGGACCUAAAUAGUAGUCUGACGAAAAUUGGGCCUAUCAGACUUUGUAUUUCUAUGUAAACAGCAAGACUCCUUUUUCUGAAACAGAAUUGGCUUAGGUCGCUUAAUGGGUGCAAGAAGUAAAGAAAUGUUCCUUGCAAGGAGUCAAAGUUCAAAGGAAAUAGGAAAGAGAAGCAGAAAGAUCAUAAAUGGAUCCCUUAGGUAACUUCCCCCUCCCCCCUUCAAUUUCUAAAGCAGUGCAGGCGGCAGUGAGCUCUGCAGAGGAGGAGAGUGGGUGCUGCUGAUCUGUGCAGGUCUGGGAGAGAGGAUGCGCUCUCGAUGACUGAGGGAGUUGGAGUAAUGCGAAUGGGACCUGGAGAGUUUUCCUUUCUCUAAUGCUAACCUUACUAACACUUCACUUUAUCCUCUUAGGGCAGUCUUCUUAGGUCAAAGGGAAAUAGGGUAUGGUAAUGCUGCUGUUUUCACUAGAAGUUAGAAGUUUCAAGAAGAAUUCCUUAGCUGAGGAUCCUAUAAGUGUAGCAGAACAAUUAGAUCAAUUUCUAGGGCCUAAUUUGUACUCAUGGAUGGAAAUGAUGUUUAUCAUUGAUAUGUUGUUUAUUGGAGAAGGAGAUUGGCAGCUACGCAAGUGUGGGACAUGAAUACAGGGGGAAGGUUGGGCUCUGGAGGGAGGCAGAGAGAGGAAGGAUCCUGAGGAUAAAUUGUACUGAUUACUGUCACUGUCUCUGUGAUUGUUAAAUGUUUAUGUCAUGAAUGUGUUAUGUUAUGUUAUAUUGUGUACGAGGCUGUUAUGGAACAAGGGGUGUCUAAAGUGAUAUGAGAAGACCCCCUGGGUUGUAUUUUGGCUCACUGGAGAAACAUUGUUGGUGAGCCAGGGGAAUAUUGAAUGAGAAACCAGGAACGUAAAUGGAGUAAUGGGACCAGUUUUAUAAUUGAGUACCCUAAUCAUGAGACCAAGUGCUGGGUGUCUGUGGAAACUGAGGAAUUGUAUUGUUUGAUUUGUGGAUUUUGAAGGCACUGGGAGAAACGGUCUUAAUGGUAUGUGGAAAUUAUGUGGAAAUGCAACUUUUAAUGGUAUGUGGAAAUGCAAUUGCUAACAGUAUGUGGAAUUGCAGUUGAGGGGAUGUAUGGGAACUGCUGAGCCACGGCCUGAACCUCUGAUUGAUCACCUGAGGCGAGCCAUGAGUCAGCCAGAGGAGCACAGCUGAAGGCAAUUCACCUGUGCUGCUGGAAGGGGGGGAGCCUGGCUCCAUCCCUCCUAGACCUAUUUAAGAGCUGGCUGCCAGUGGGGAAGGAGCUCUGCUGGAGAUUGGCUCUGCUGGUGUUUUGUGGGUGAGCUCAGGAUAGGGGGUACAAAUAGUGGAAUUGUGGAAAAACAAACAAACAAAAAGCUCUCCAGCAAUGCUGCUGAUACUCAUCAAAUCCAAAGUCACCCACGCUAGAUUUAUUUGAGCUUGGCACUGAGAUAUUAUCUGCAGUGCAAGUACACUCCCUCGACAGCGUUUACUGAAUGCUUAAGUUUUCUACUCAUUUCACAGCUAACAGCUGUUGUGUAUUAAAGGCACAAGCCUCUCGCUAGUCCAUGUGCUGGGGAACACAAGGCUGUGUGUAAAUGUAAGAGGGAAAAACAGCACAAACAAGAGAAGGCUUAAGCAGCACUGGGAGUGCAAAACAAGAGCCUUAGACCAGUUGAGUGGGAUUCCCCUGAAGCAGUACUUUCCUUUUCUCUCUCAUUCUCCAUGAGGAAGAGGAAUAUCACGGUGCAAAAACAAAGGGCCAAGAAGCAAAGUUCAAAAGCAAAAUCAAUUCAGAUCCAUAAAACUCCACCAGUUACCUAAGUGCUUUUUAACAUAAAGCCACUUGGCUGUUGAAUGCAUAUCUUCAUUGAAAAAGCACACAGUGCAGCCAAGCCAGCUCCCCUACCACCACUUAUGCUUGUUAAUGCACUGUAAAUCUGCCAGAGCAGCAUGUGUGCAAAGCUCGCAGCAACAGCAAGAAUCCAUAAGUUCUGACUUUGUUCCUAGGGAUAUUCAUGUUUGAACAGGUCCAUUCUUCCAAGCUGCACGCACUCAUGAACGUGAGAUCUUCACACAGUGGUUUUUGGAAAACAGCCACACAGCCUGAAAAUUAUCACUCCUGGUAGGCUCUGUGGCUCUGGCUCUCUUUUAUAGCGUGCAAGCAGCCUCAUCUGUCUACAGCAGUAGAUCUUUCCCUUCUGAAAGCAUGAAGAUGGCCAUCUUACAUUUGUCCACCUGAGGCAGCUCUGCUUUUGCUGGCAGAGAUCUGAUGACCUGGAAGCCUGAAGGAAAGAAUGCUUUUGCAUUAGCAGCCAUGCUGCCACCUUUUAGAUGCAGAACACAUCACGAGCAAAACAUUUGGAUUACAAUGAACCAACAGUUCCCUGUUAGAGGCAUGCAAGCAGACAAGAGCAUUAACCAAUGCCAAAACAUUACAUAUGCUGGCCAUCCACUGAUCCUGUUACAUUUAGCUGGUAGACUCAGCACCCUCUCUACCUGACCUGCUUAGAAAAGGAAGAAAGCUUCGUGAACGUGAGGCGACAGCUGUGAUUAAAGAACAGAUGCAAGAAGAGAUACAGAGUUGCUGUCAGCCCCUGACCUACCUUGAACAGCAGGUUAUUUUGCAUAGAGCCAGGAAUAUUAAUUCAUUCCUGCUUUUAUCUGUGCUUCAGUCAGGUAUUUUUGCUGCAGGUGUCAGCUUGUGGAGGAAGCAACUCCAGAACGACAAAGCUUGAAAAAUGAAGCUGACAACUGAAACCAGAGCCUUUGCUGAAGUUCUGAAGAGCCACACCAUGAAACAAGGAAAGCAGAAAGCAGCUGUUGGCAUUUCUACUUAAGUGAGUGGGAACUGAAUGUUUUGCAGCACUGUACAUCAUCAGCCACAAGCUUAAAGCAUACGUGGUCCCUGCUCUGGUAGUCAAAAGGGGGAAAAGAAUGCUUUAGGGACAGCACAAAGCUAUCGGAAAUAGAAAGAAAAGGUUAUUCACUGCAUUUCUGCUGGAUUUGCAGAGGAAUAAAGAACAGAGUAUUUCCAAUGACUGUGUCCAGUUUGCAGUUUUUUCAUUCAGCAGCACAAAACUGACAUUGUCAGCUUUGCCUCUGCUUCCUAAAGCUGCUUGGAAACCAACCAAAACUUUACAACAAGCGAGUUAGAACUACUGCUAAGGGAGAAAUCAGAGCUAGGCUUCACUUUGUGGGGAUCUACUUAAUCCACUUAAGCGACUUGAGCACCUUGUGGAUGCUUUCUUUUACAGGAGGAAGCCCUUGAAGCCCUGACUCAAGAUCCAGUUGCAUCACCCUCAUCUGCAGAGGCUUCUCUGUCUCAGAGAAGUCACCCCAGGGGAAGGCAAAUCAGCCUUAGACGGGGUAAAUGUACUUGCUGUUCUCUGUUCUGAGCCUGCAUACUGAAAAGUUGUCUUCCAAGCAGUUUUUAUCCGCACCAAGUUCUUCAUUCUGCCCACCACCUGCAACAAGAGAUGACACCCCAAACAACCUCAUUUUAAGUAUCAUUCAACAACGAUCCCUUUGGUGAGAAGCACUGAGUUUCAGCUGCUACAAAUUUGAUUUCAGUACUCCAAACAUGCUCAGAAUAGAGCAGAUACUGCAGAGCAACAGCUGCAGACUGAGCUAGCCUCCUUGCUUGCCGUUCUGAUGGAGAAGCAAUGCACCACAGUGAAAGGUGAAGCUCACACUCAGCCCCACUGACCAGAGAAGGAGCAGCAGCUGCUAUCGCACACUUUACACAGCAGAAGGCAGAGACAGCCAAAGACACAAAGGAACAUCUCUGGGCUUAAGUGAUGUUAAAAGAGGAGCUGGAUAUUCUGUUAUCUGUGCCUCACGCCAUUCAGCAAACAUUCAGAUAUGGCGAUUACUUACCAAAAUAAGUGGAAGUGGCCACUCUGUCAGGGGAAGUUUGCAGCCAUGCAAUCCUAUACGUCAGAAGGUGUUGUUUCAGAUAUUUGCUUGAAUCAGAAGAAAACUGAAGGCUGGUUUUUAUUUACUCCAGACUCUUCUUUUGGUUUCUGCAAUUGUCCUUCAGUGAUUGGAAAGACUGCUUUGAACAAUGUGAGGGCAGCUGUGGGACUUAUCUCAAAUACUUUCAAUUGUUUAUUUUUUUACAAGUUCUAUUUCUUGUCCAACAUUUUUUUUAGUGCUCCAGCACUCAGUAAGAGUUAUAGUGUUGAAAUAAAUCUGGAUUAAGCAAACAGCUCCAUUUGAAUAGUAAACACAGACACCCUUCCUGCUAGCUCAGCUCAAUGAUCACAGUUUAAAUGAUCAAAGCACACAGGCUAAAAAUAGAAAACUCUGCUCACAAGUUUAAUUGCCUUCAUCGAGCAAGAAGCAGACUUCUGAAGUUCACUGCCAUGCUGUUAGUGCAGUGGGAAAGAGAAGCAUGCCAGCAAGGUGAGAAGCAAGGCAGAGAAGCUGGGCAGCACAGACAGCAUGCUGGUACACAAGUGGCCGGUGGAGGUGGCCACACAGAGCAAUUCUGGGCUACAGCAUCGCAUCGGGCCCUGCUCCCCUCUCAGCCACGCUGCCCUGGGGUCAGCUACCUUUAACCUGUCUCCUGAGAAGGUUCAGCUAUUUUGCCAGCUGCCCUGGGCUGCUGACUUGCCCUGCUCCCUACCUCAUCCUCCCAGUUCUUCCAGCAGUAAUUGCCUCCUCACUGCUGUGGCUGAUGGACAGAAUUACACACCCUGCAGCCCAAGGAUCAAUCCCAAGAAAACUUCCUACGUGUUUUGCUGCCUACUGAGCUGGUUUGCAAUAUAUCUGAUGCAUCCUCUGUUUGCAGUGCAAACCCUUAGAACAAACCAAAGCACAACAUCAAGAGCUUUGGAGAAACAAUUCUACCACUUCCACCAAUGAAGAUGCAAUCUUGAUAAACUUGCCACAUUUUAUACCCUGCCUUCCAAAGGAUAAAUCUACUUUCAUUAGAAUGUUUAGCUGUUAAAUCCUCUUUUAUUGAAUUGCAAGUUAACUCUUACCAUUAGAAUUGCACAGGCACCACCUCAGGCUAAUGACUUGAAAGUCUCCUAGAUCUCCUGUUACCCUUUUAAAACACCCAAGUACUGUCUUUUAAUCUUCCCGUGGUACUGAUUCAGUCACGGCCACAUUAACAUAGUGCUCUCACAUUACAGCCUUAGUGAACCUUCCUUGCUUACACUCACUCACUCUGGAUAUCAGAAGCCAUCCACGACUGUACCACCACCAAUGUCACCUUUACAGCAGCUACACACUGAGUUUCCAAAACGCAGGGAUCCAUAGGGGAAUUGCAAUAGAAGCGUGUUUACCAAUUUCACACCCUGAUGUGAAUGCCAAAAUAAUCUGAUCUGCCUUCAGGCCAGUAAGGGUAAGAUAAAUUAUUUGCAGCCUCCUAAGAGGAUAUCACCAGGUCUCUCACUCAGAGCAGCAGAUUCUGGAGAGGAUAUGAUGUCACCAUCAUUAAUUUUCAUUAAAACACCACAGUGUUGUUUCCAACAAAAAGAAACGCAUUCCCACAUCCUGCUGAAAAAUCUAUGGACUUGCUGUGAUGACCUGGGAAUGCAUUUGCAGAGAACUAGGUUCCUGGCUGGGCAACUACAUACCAUUUAUAGCAAGAAAGCAAAUCAUCUUCAGAAACAAGCUCGUCGUAAGUAGGCCAUUGAUCCUCUGUGUAAGAACGGGCUGGAAAUAGACAGGAGGGUACAGGAGGAAAAAGGGACAUACAGAGAGAAAAGCUCACAAUGGGAGUCCAGGACUUGUGCUGAUGAUGAAGCUCAGCUGGUCACCCUGCAGCACAGCAUCACACUGACUGACAGCUCGCCCUAUGAUAUAGCAGUCCCAAAGGAACUAACAGCAGCCACAGUUAAUAAUUUAGACAUAAGCCAAAGAAGAAGAACUGAACUCAAGGGUCCAUAGGAUGCCACAAUAAUGGCACUGCAGUCAAAUAGAGUGCAAGGAGACCAACACGAAACUCAGUUAUAACACCAGAGAAAAAUUCCCACUGAGCCCAAAGCAAGUGUGCUUGGGCAGAGUUCUUUGAAACAUGGGGAACUGGAGAAAACAGUUUUAGCCACAGCCACUGAGUUCCCAGUCAUGGGACAGGCAGACAGAUGUGUGGAAAUAGUUACACAAUGCCAUUUUUGACAGAUCCACGCAAAAUACUACCGUGCUUCCUCUUCAAAGAGGAAUUGCAGUAAAAUUAUUAAUAAAAUUAAUAGAAAACCACAGAGCAGGUUGUUUUUACAGCCAAAUGAGAAACCGUGGUUCAACCUGUACUUAACAUGGAAAAAAGCACAGCAACAGACUGGAAACUGUCACCAGUCCUUCGUGCACUCUGCUCACCAACAACUGAUCUGAAAGACAGACAUGGCCAAGUCUUCUGUCAAGAGGAAAGAUGCUGCUGCUUAAAUCCAAAGAGACACAGGGAGGCACAGAGCACGUCAGCUACUGGAGCUGUGUGGCACCAAGGGUCACUACACAUUGCAUUCAGCAUGCAUGGGCACACUCACUGCUCCAGUAAAAUUAAGAGACAGGAGCAGGGGCUGCUGAGAGUGGAGGUAGCUGAGAUGAGCUAAGGGACAGCAGGACAGCAGUUCUCCAGAGACGCAGCACAACAAAGCAUCAGGUACAGAGCUCCCAUUCACAGAGUCUGCAGCUUGUCACUGCUUCACAGCACAGAGAAUCAACUAAGCUUCACCAGCAAACGAGACCACAGAAUGGCAAAAUUAACAUUUCAGGUCUAGAGUCUGGCUAUUGAUCGGGAUUAAAGAGGCACAGAUAAGGACUAAGCCACAGGAGAGAAGGGUAAUAUUCCUGCGACUGUUCGCCUCCAGGAUCAGGGUUCAAUAGAAAUGAGAUAGGAGAGCUUGCUUUCAGAUCAAAGCCAGUAUUAAACUCACCUGACUUCCUUUAUUCUCCCUGUUCUCACAUCAUGGUCUUCUGUAACUAAGGCUGCUCAAAUGCGUUUCCUCGAAACAUCACAGCCAGCAAUCACAAAACUGAGGUACAGUAACAGCCUUACAGUCACUCUUCAAACACACAUCUGCUAAGAUUGCUAUACUCAAAACACAGUUCUACCUUAAUAACCAACCAGCAGGUAAUUCAAGCUGUCAGGUAGAAAGUCACAACACAAACAUUACAGGAAUGGUCAUCCACACAAGACACACAUAUCAGGCAAUCCAAGCACUUUGUAUGCUGCUUGUUUAGCACUGCAAUCUCACAUUUAAUAGUGGCAAAAUGUCUCAAUCCCUUCUUAAAAAAAUUAAAAAUAAAAAAAUUGUUCUCAUACUGUCAAAGCAGCCCCUGGUAAAGUUCUUAGAUAAUCACCAUACUUAAUAUUAUCACUACAUGUGGGAGCAAAACAGGAAGACAUGCAUUUCUUGACAUCUGUAAGCCACACUGACUACAGUAUGCACUCACAUACAUCUUUGGUUUAUCAGAGAUCCAUCACCAUCAGCUGUAUGUGCACAUAUGCACUUUUUGUGACAGAGGAGCUCAAACGCCAUCACUUCAGAAUCAACUUCAGCUCUGGGAUGAAUGAGUACAGCAUGAUGAUGGGUCUGAACCACAACAGAGGGACAUGUGCAGUGCUAUUAAAACUCAAAAAUACUGCUGGAAGAAUAAGCAUUGUUUACAUUUACGGUGCUAUUUAGCCUUUGCUGAGGCACUGGACGUGAAGAGAAAGAGUCCUGCUGGGGAAGGGCACCCACAAGCCCUGCUAGUGCUCUGCAGCCCAGGUCAGCACUGCCAUCACAAACUGCUGUCUCUGCAGUCCCAAUGCUCCACAGCCACAGGAGCUGCCAUGUGGUCAGCCCCGGGCUGUAGAACCACACAGAUGCUUCAGGCUGCUAUGGAGCUGCUUUGCUUUUCCAACCAGCAGUUUGUGUCACUAUCAAAGAUAGAAAACCAUAUACAGAGUGAGUUUCUUAACGGCAGCGUGAAAUGCAAGCAGCCCUAGUUGCCCUGGACACGGAACCCACAGCCACCACAAGUGCCAAUUUUAACUACUGCAUCAAUGAGCACGUUGCUAGGAAUAACUAGUUGCAGCACUAAUCCCCAGUCACAGAGUGUAUGGGAACUGCUGAGUCGCCUGCCUGAACCUCUGAUUGAUCACCUGAGGAGAGCCAUGAGUCAGCCAGAGGAGCACAGGUGAAGGCAAUUCACCCGUGCUGCUGGAAGGGUGGAGCCUGGCUGCAGCCCUCCUAGACCUAUUUAAGAGCUGGCUGCCAGUGGGGAAGGUGCUCUUCUGAUGUUUUGUGGGUGAGCCCAGGAUAGGGACACCAUGCCAACUGCACCUCCCCAGAAUCCUUGCAAUGCAGCUUCACAUCCUUCCAGUUUCUGUGAGCUAGGAAGCAAAAGUGAUGAAACACGCUAACAAACAACAACACAACCAAAUACCCAUGGUAUAAGGAGCUAUAAGGGGUAACAACCUUAUACUGAGCAGUAUGCUGCAACAACAGCACAACUCUGCACAUCAAAAUGGGAGGAAUCAAGUACAGAAGUUUGCUGGCUACAUAACUGGCCAUGGCCAGGAUACCCUGCCAGCAGAAGUUCAUUAUGUAUGUUGCUUCCUCUUAUGUUCCUCCUUACACACUCUGCAAUCUGCUGAAGAACAUGGGGCAGCUGUCUGACCUGCCUUCAGAUAGCUGCCUUGGACAACACCGUUAUCUCUGUGCAUCAGACUCCCUUCUGCCUGGACCUCCCAUUCCUGCAGGCUCAGAUUCACACUUCAGCAGUGCAGUUGUUAUCCUGCAGAAAACAUAAAUGGAGGAUAUUAGCAGACCCAAAUAUCCUGCUUGCAAACCACUGGCUGAAGGGUGAAGCAGCCAAAGGAGGUUCACUUGAAGUAUAUGACAACCUGCACUGGUACAGCAGCCAAGAAAAGGCAGCAGAAGGACAUAAGCAAGUGAUUGUUUCUUUUAAUGUUCUGAUUUGGCUGCAAACAAGCGUCAUUUCUGCAAUACUGCACAGGAUGGUCCAUAGGAUUUCGUCUGUUUAUAUUGCUGUUGAGGGAAAGUGAGCUCCAAGCAGAUAAAGCUUUCCAACAACAUCAAGUUUGUGAGACACUGCUGUAUGGAACGCAUGAUUCAACCAAGACAAUUAACAAGCUUAAAAUGCAUGCAGGACCCCAGGGGCUUCUGAAACAGUUUCAAAGGCUCAACUUGGAGAAAAGCAGGGAAAAUUUGCCCACUGACUGUUUUGAAAAGUGCAAAAGGAGGAAUAAGUACAAGAAAACUUGCCACAAGCAGAGCAUGCGUUCAGCUUGGCCUUCCCUGUGCCAUAGAUCUAGGAGCAGUGCUCAUUCUACCACAUCUCUGCCCACCAGAGCCAGCCAGCAGCCUGAGGCUCUGCUCAGGUAGCAACUGCUUCAGCAAAGAAGCGCUUUAAAACUGGAAGAGUCAGCAAGCUAUCACUUGGUAACUUCUGAAAGUAGGGGUAAUCUCCUACAGCGAAAUCAAGUAAGUAGUCACAGAAGCUGAGCACGCACACAGUCUGAGCUACUGCACACCAUCAGAACGGAGAAGCCAACCCAGCGCCAUCUGCAAUUACUAAAGCUUGUGCGAACACGAACCGAGCGCUGACAGCAUCCCAAAGUUUUACCUGUGGGGCACGAAAACAAACACCAUCACCCACAGAGAUUAGCAACAGCACUUUAUGGGCUCUGCCACCACUCGUGACAAAAAAAAUCCAUGUCAUCAGCAGGAAAAUUUUCCUUUCUAAUGUUGGUUUUGUCUAAGAGAACAGAAAGAUCCUCAGGGAGUUCACCAUAGAGAGAGCCGCUCGGGCUCAUUUUCCAGAGCUUCGCCUGCCUUUAGGCUCCCACAGGCUGCCGCGUUCCUGCAGCACAGCGAUUUGGCUCCAGCCUCCCGAACUGCACGGCCAUGAAAUACUCUUCACACUUCAGCAACGUGACCAUGGCUAACGCCGGCUGCACAGCGGCAGUAGCUCGGGGCUCUGCCCUUUUCCGCCGCCCUUCCGAAGCAUCCGUCCGUCUUCGUACAAGAUGUGAAGACGGCCCUAGGCUAAACGCAUCUUCUCCCAUUAUAGAUCUAUUGCUUUUAAGAGGAAUACAACCGCUCUCCCGGCGUAACAGCACCAACACGCAGAAAGCACUACAAAUGCCGAGGCGGCAGACAGAGAACGGCCGCGGCUUCGCCCCGGCCACGGCUCUCGCGCGGUAGCCGGCCGAGCCCCGAUCCCGGCACCCACCGGCACACGCUCGCGACCCCGGCCGAGAACA